rnacentral:rRNA from 1 species
UACAGAGGGUGCGAGCGUUAAUCGGAAUUACUGGGCGUAAAGCGUGCGUAGACGGCUAUCUAAGUCGGGUGUGAAAGCCCCGGGCUCAACCUGGGAAUUGCAUUCGAGACUGAAUAGCUAGGGUACGGUAGAGGGAAGUGGAAUUUCCGGUGUAGCGGUGAAAUGCGUAGAUAUCGGAAGGAACAUCAGUGGCGAAAGCGACCUCCUGGACCAGUACCGACGUUCAGGCACGAAAGCGUGGGGAGCAAACAGG